rnacentral:rRNA from 1 species
CACGUAGGGGGCGAGCGUUGUCCGGAUUUAUUGGGCGUAAAGAGCUCGUAGGCGGUUUCGUAAGUCGGAUGUGAAAACUCCAGGCUCAACUUGGAGACGCCAUUCGAUACUGCGAUGACUUGAGUCCGGUAGGGGAGUGUGGAAUUCCUGGUGUAGCGGUGAAAUGCGCAGAUAUCAGGAGGAACACCGGCGGCGAAAGCGACUUCCUGGACCAAUACUGACGCUCAUGUGCGAAAGCGUGGGGAGCAAACAGG